UAACAUACGCGGCCAAAGCACGGCUUUACGUCGGGCUUGAUAGUGUGAGGAACAUUUUGGUACAUCCGGGAGGGUGAUCAACGGAUCGCCGCCAACCAACACCCUCUCGGUUUGCUAGC
rnacentral:ncRNA from 1 species